UAAUACGGGGGGAGCAAGCGUUGUUCGGAUUUACUGGGCGUAAAGGGCGCGUAGGCGGCGUAACAAGUCACUUGUGAAAUCUCCGGGCUUAACCCGGAGCGGCCAAGUGAUACUGUUGUGCUAGAGUGCAGAAGGGGCAACUGGAAUUCUCGGUGUAGCGGUGAAAUGCGUAGAUAUCGAGAGGAACACCUGCGGCGAAGGCGGGUUGCUGGGCUGACACUGACGCUGAGGCGCGAAAGCCAGGGGAGCGAACGGGAUUAGAUACCCCGGUAGUCCUGGCCUUAAACGAUGGAUACUUGGUGUCCGGGGUUACAUAGUCCCCGGGUGCCGGCGCUAACGCAUUAAGUAUCCCGCCUGGGGAGUACGGUCGCAAGACUG
rnacentral:rRNA from 1 species